rnacentral:rRNA from 1 species
ACGAAGGUCCCAAGCGUUGUUCGGAAUCACUGGGCGUAAAGCGUGCGCAGGCGGUUGUGCAAGACAGAUGUGAAAUCCCCGGGCUUAACCUGGGAACUGCAUUUGUGACUGCACGGCUAGAGUGUGUCAGAGGGGGGUAGAAUUCCACGUGUAGCAGUGAAAUGCGUAGAGAUCGGGAGGAACACCAGUGGCGAAGGCGGCUACCUGGACCAGCACUGACACUGAGGCACGAAAGCGUGGGGAGCAAACAGGA